CCACAACCAACUGAAGCGAUGCGCUCCCUUUCAACCACCAAUUUCACGGCACCGUUUGUUUGCGCAUGGCCAGUUGCUCUCGAGGUCUUUCGGUCCCCCUCGAAACAACCGGCAUCUUUACACUACAACAUCUUAUCACUGGAGUGUCAACGCUUGGGGAUCAUUACUUUAAUCAUGAGGAAACAUUGUGCUGAAAUUCCCACUUAAGGUCCUCAGAACUUCAUGUACUAGUUGGAUGUCUCACUCCAUGACCAAGGUGUUUGGCAAAAUAAGGAAGGGUGGCUGAAUCAUGACAUG
rnacentral:lncRNA from 1 species